UACAGAGGUCUCAACCGUUGUUCGGAUUCAUUGGGCGUAAAGGGUGCGUAGGCGGUCGCGCAAGUCGGAUGUGAAAUCUUAGGGCUCAACCCUGAAACUGCAUUCGAUACUGCGUGGCUUGAGUGCUGGAGGGGAGACUGGAAUUUACGGUGUAGCAGUGAAAUGCGUAGAUAUCGUAAGGAAGACCAGUGGCGAAGGCGAGUCUCUGGACAGCAACUGACGCUGAGGCACGAAGGCCAGGGGAGCAAAC
rnacentral:rRNA from 1 species